UACGUAGGGACCAAGCGUUGUCCGGAAUUAUUGGGCGUAAAGAGCUCGUAGGCGGUUUGUCGCGUCUGCUGUGAAAACUGGAGGCUCAACCUCCAGCCUGCAGUGGGUACGGGCAGACUAGAGUGCGGUAGGGGAGAUUGGAAUUCCUGGUGUAGCGGUGGAAUGCGCAGAUAUCAGGAGGAACACCAAUGGCGAAAGGCAGAUCUCUGGGCCGUAACUGACGCUGAGGAGCGAAAGCAUGGGGAG
rnacentral:rRNA from 1 species